AUCCGGUCUUUCAUCCGAUGUUUUUCCAGAAAGAAGACUGGGAGGUGCACACGAAUGAGUGAUGCAGGGAAGACCCUUCAAGUCUUUGAAGUUCUCUCAGUGACCCAGGAGUGAGCAGUAAACUAGGAGGAGAUAUCCCAGGCUGCUACUCCCAUGCUGAUUUCCUAAAUAGUCUCAGAAGAGCUGAGAGGUGAUGUGGCUUCUCUACCAGGUCAGGCUGUCAACUGCAUGAUUGCUUUAAACGAAACAGGCUACUACAACAGGUUUGCUGCCUACCAGAUCACGUUGCACAUUUGCAGUUGGUACAACACUACAUUUUAUAAGUUAAGAAAUGCAACUGCAUCUGAACAUGAAAAACAUUUUCAAGCCAAGAUAUGUAUAUUUACUGUCACACAAGGAAUGCCAUUAA